GAGUAAUUUAUUCUUAAAUAUAUAUUUGUGCAAAAUACUGCUAAAGAAUUAAUACAAAUUAUUAUUUUAUAUUUCAUGUAGGGUUUUAUUCACGAAGACAUAACUAUGGAUCUUAAACGGAAGGGUUUCAAAAGAGAGAUAAAACUAGACGUUAAGAAACAUCUAAAGAUUGGACUGGAGGUUGCAGUUGGGAAAAUGAGGCUAUUUGGACGAAAGGGCUUCAUAUACAAGCAUCAUGGUAUAGUCACAAACAUUUGUGAUAUCACUGAAACUUUCGAAAUAUUUGAAUUAACGGCUCCUGGUUCGUCUGUCAAUAUAUUUCCCGCACUAUCACGCAGCUCUCUUGAGCCAAAAGUUGUAAAAUCUAGCAUUAAGUUCACAACCAAAAACCUUUUCUACUAUGAAUACACAAUUUUUUGUUUUAAGCAUAAAAUUAUCAAGGAAAGAGCAGAAUCACUGUUUCCCCUUUUCCAAAGCUGUGGUGUUAAGUAUCACCUUUAUAAAUUUAAUUGUGAACAUUUUGCAAGUUACUGCUCAACAGGACUGGCAUUCAGUAUACAGAUUUGGCAUGGGAAUUUAGAAGCAACAACGGCACUUGAUAGAAGACUUAAAUGGUUUAUGGAUAAAAAACAGACCCGCAAUGAAAGCAACAUGAACAACGAACCUGAGGCGUCAACGAAAAACACCGAUCAACUGUAGACGAUGUGGUGUUGUGUAUUGUUCUUAUUUUAUUUGAUGAUUUUAUUGUACUUAACAAGCCUUUGCAUUGUCUUAACAUUGUAAUCGUACCAUUUUCAUUUAUCAUAUACAGACGUAAUAUAUAUAUUGUUAUAAAACUGUAAGGAACUUUUGUUAAUAUCUAAAUAUAUUUUAAAUAUGUUA